UUAAUUCAUCUUAUUUGAUCCAAUUCUGCUAAGUUUGCUAUUGAAUUAGACAUUUUCAUAAAUUGCAAAACUAAUCAAUUAUGUUUUAGCUGAAUACCAAAAACAGGCCUAGAGCAACUCAUUACCUCCACCAACCCAGCCCAAUUCUAACAAUCAACAAUACCAACCGACCAAGUCCACCAUUUUCAGCCCAACAAUAGGGAAUGUUCAUUAAAGUCAAUUACCCAAAGUCAUCGUUAAAAUCCACAACAAUUUGGACGUUCUGAAUUUUCCCAUCCUAACGUUCAUUCCCCCACCCCAAAUUUGACCUAUAUAAACCUCCUUACUUCAUCGUUCAAAAGGUUUGAAAAAUAAAAAUUAGAGUUGAAAAACAAAGGAGAAGGUUACUAUAUAGGCAAAAAUACACAAUCGGAGUUCGUUUUUCUUCUAUUCGAGCAUUUGACGCUACUGCUUUAUUCCUGUGUCGUCAUGGAUCGCUGCUCCAUAUGAGGUUUUAUUGAUAGCUCGUCUCCAAGUGUGUCUACCUCUUUCAUCUGCUGGAACUGUUCUGGGUUCUCAAAAUGGGGCUGUAAAAUCUGAUUGUUUACCUUUUUCUCCAAGUGUGGCUCGAUUUCUGUUUUAAGUGUUGUAAUCAUUAUUCAAAAUAUGGAAAUUUUGCUCAAUCUUGUAGUAUUCCUGUUCUUGGGUACUUAUUACGUUUCUUUACGCAUCUUCUAACUUAGUUGUUGUAUAUCUACAUCUGAUUGUUCUCAAUUGCUAUUUGAUGAUGUGAGGCUUCAAGUUCUAAUGUUCAAUUUGAUCAAAAAUAGUUUGUCUA